rnacentral:rRNA from 1 species
UAGGGAAUAUUGCGCAAUGGGCGAAAGCCUGACGCAGCGACGCCGCGUGAGUGAUGAAGGCCUUCGGGUCGUAAAGCUCUGUUGUACGGGAAGAAGGUUACAUACCUAAUACGUAUGUAAUUUGACGGUACCGUAUAAGAAAGGACCGGCUAACUUCGUGCCAGCAGCCGCGGUAAGACGAGGGGUCCUAGCGUUGUUCGGAAUCACUGGGCGUAAAGCGUUCGUAGGCGGCUCUAUAAGUCGGGUGUGAAAUCCCACGGCUCAACCGUGGAAGUGCAUUCGAAACUGCAGAGCUUGAAUAUGGUAGAGGGUAGUAGAAUUCCUGGUGUAGUGGUGAAAUACGUAGAUAUCAGGAGGAAUACCGGUGGCGAAGGCGGCUACCUGGACCAAUAUUGACGCUGAGGAACGAAAGUGCGGGGAUCAAACAGG